AAGAGGAAGAAAGAACCAGGAGCAGGACAGUCAGUGGCAAUCCAGGAAUAAGAACUUUCUUUCUUUUUCACUUUUCCCUUGCUGAAAUUUUCAUUCUCUCACCCCACCCAUCAGACUCACUUCUCAGCUACAUUUUGUGGGGAAGGGAAUUUGGGGAGGAUAUCUGUAUGAACCAGGCUCUGCAUGUUCACAUUGUUGUUAUCAAUGUUAAUAAUAUUGUUGUUGUUAAUGACAAGAAUAAGUGUUGUCAUUGUUUCACAACACGUGUUUGGGGACUUUCCAUCCUGGUGACACAGGUCUUCUUCAAAGUCAUUUGUCGUGUUGACUGAUGAGCCCCAGGUCACGUGCUUCUGCUCAUGUGUUCGCUGCGGCAACAAUUUGCACUGGUGCCCGGGAGAAGGCACACAGAGUUCUCUGUUGCUUCCAGGUGAACUCUGACCUGGGAAGCAGUCUAUUUUCCAUGCGCUGUUUCUGUCCAGCCACAAGCUUGUUUUGUUGGCUCAUAAAAUAUCAACCGCUGGUGGAGAGCGGGAGGUGUGCAUGAGAAAGCUUACCAUGGUUAUUGCUUUCUCAACUUGCACAGAGAUGGGGGACAGUUGUUCAUAACAAGUAUAAACGUUCUGUGACUUUCUCUACCCCUGUUUAUGUGCGUGUUUAUCAAGAGGUUGAUCAGAGAGACAGAGAGGAAGAGACGGAGGGAGAGGGAGAGACAGGAAAGCCAGGGCCAGAGCCACGGGACAGGCUGUGAGCGUGGCUUCGCCUCUGCUGUAAACCCUCUGCGGUGAGGCAGGGCCGGGUUGCAGUGCAGGUUCAGGGUUAAAGGUAACAGCCUCGGUCAACAGAGAGGCUGACCUUUUGCGAGAGUCUAGAAGAGAUGCUUUGAUUGGGCCAGCCUGGGCAGCCACCCCUUUCUCACCCUGUGACCAGGGGCUGAGGUCACCAUGCCCAGAAUGGGCCCCAGGCUUUCACGGCUUUGCAGAGGGACCCAAGGACGUGUCCUGCGUUUCCGGACCCACCCUAUUCAAGGACCCACCACACGAACUCAGGAGGUGAUGCGAAGGAUUCUAAAGAGGCAGUGUGUCCAAGCACUUUGAACCCUGGUCUCCGUCCUCUGAGGCGUCUCUCUGCCGCAGUCGCAGCUAGAUGAACAAGAAGGCCAGCACGGCUGUUGCCGGGUUGGUCAGAGCAGCGUAUCUGCCCUUUCAGAACGCUUGCAGUUGCCCAAGGUCCUGGAGGCACGUGGUGGUUUCUUAACCACUGGACCACCAGGGAAGGCCCUGGGAGACGACGCUUUCGACUGAACUUCUUGGGAGAAAGAAGAUGGGACCUCUGAUCACAACAGCACAUGACAAGUCCCCACAAUAUAUCCCUGGAUGAAUUUGAGUGUGAUAUUCUAGCCCGUGAUGUCCGUGUAUCACAGGAUACUGAUAGAGUUCCCCGCGCCACUAGCAGGCGGUGCUGCUCAUCCGCUCCUUAGGCGAUGGCUUGCCUCUGCCAGUCCCAGACUCCCGGCCGCGCCUCCCCCCGCGCCCCGCCCCCUGGGCAGCCGCCAGCCUCUUUCUGGGCUGUGAGUCUGUUUCCGUUUUGUAGGUAAGUCCGUUUGCUGCGUGGGUAGAUUCCCCGAGCAGGCGGCACCAGGCUGCGCCUGUCUUUCUCUGACUCGCUUCAGUUCUUGGUGUGGUCGUCCCUAGGCCCAUCCACGGUGCUUCAAACGGCAUUAUGUCGUUCCUUUUCUACGAAGUUAUCUUUAGCUGGAGGAUAAUUGCUUUAUCAUGUGGUGUUGGUUUCUGCCAUACGUCAACACGAAUCUCCCGUAGGGAUGCACACGUCCCUCCCUCUUGAGCCGCCUCCGCAUCCCCCACCCCCCAUCCCCCCUCUAGCUCGUAGCGGAGCUCGGGCUGAGCCCCGCAGCACACGGCACCUGCCCCGCUGGCUGUAUUGCACAGGGCGAUGUGUCUCUUUGAUGCUGCUCCCGGUUCUCCCCCGGCUCCUUGCCCCAGGGCCUACAAGGCUGUUCUCUACGUCUGCGUUCUCCUUGCUGCCCUGCAUAUGGGCUCAUCAGUCCCAUUUUUCUUGGUUCCUCAUAUCUCAUUAAUUAUGUGAUACUUGUUUGUCUCUUUCUGACUCUGUGUCUGUUUCCUUCCUUUUCAUGGUGGAGUGAUAUUCCACUGUAUGUAGGGACCACGCCUUCUUUACCCACGCCCCUGUCGAUGGACAUCUAGGUGGCUUCCAUGGCCUGGCUGCUCUGAACUGUGCUGCCGUGAAGGGAAUGCCUAACUCGCACUACAAUCCUGUUGCUGUCUGAAAUAUUGCCGUUUCCUCUCCUGCCUCCCUGGUGGCCACGCAGAGAGCAAACGAGGGAUCUGCCCUGCCAGCGUCCACGUUGGGCCAGGAGGUGGCGCUGGCCGCAAGCCUGCGUCCUCAUCUCAUAGAGACUCAGGGAUGGAGAGAAGGAACUUGCGGGUGUGUUUGUGGGAGGUGGCGAAGGUUGCGGGGGAAGCGACCAUUAGGGUUUGGGAUGGACAUGUGCACACGGCUGUGUUUAAACAGGAGAACGACAAGGACCUGCUGUCCAGCACAGGGGGCUCAGCCGGGACGGGAGGGGAGUUUGGGGGAGAAUGGACACGUGUGUAGGUGUGGCUGAGCCCCUUAGCUGUCCACCUGAAACUAUCACAGCGCUGUUAAUCGGCUAAGCCCCAACACAAAAGAAAAAGUUAAAAAAAAGAAGAAAACCUAUUUCCUCUUUUCAGAAGAAACAAGGCGUUUCUGUUUUUCACAUUGAGGUCAAAGAUCCAAAGCAGAACUGGAAUAAGACCAAAUAUUGUCAAAGGCCAUAAUUCACAUCCUGAAGAUUCUUGCCAUCCUUGGGUGUUUCUUUGGGAGGGCCUGGGCGGGGGAGCGGGGCAGGGAACAGACAAAAGAAAUCUCCGAUGUACAUUCUGGGAAUUUUAGGGACAGCCUCGCAUGUUCUUUCAGAGAAAGGUGCAGGAACAAAGCAC